rnacentral:misc_RNA from 1 species
GAUGAAGAACGCAGUGAAAUGCGAUAACUAAUGUGAAUUGCAGAAUUCCGUGAAUCAUCGAGUCUUUGAACGCACAUUGCGCCCCCUGGUAUUCCGGGGGGCAUGCCUGUCCGAGCGUCAUUGCUGCCCAUCAAGCACGGCUUGUGUGUUGGGUCCUCGUCCCCCCCGGGGGACGUGCCCGAAAGGCAGCGGCGGCACCGCGUCCGGUCCUCGAGCGUAUGGGGCUUUGUCACCCGCUCUGCAGGCCCAGCCGGCGCUGGCCGACGCGAAAGCAACCAUUUUUUCUCCAGGUUGACCUCGGAUCAGGUAGGGAUACCCGCUGAACUUAAGCAUAUCAAUAAGCGGAGGA